rnacentral:rRNA from 1 species
UACGUAGGGUGCAAGCGUUGUCCGGAAUUAUUGGGCGUAAAGAGCUCGUAGGCGGUUUGUCGCGUCUGCUGUGAAAACCCGAGGCUCAACCUCGGGCCUGCAGUGGGUACGGGCAGACUAGAGUGCGGUAGGGGAGAUUGGAAUUCCUGGUGUAGCGGUGGAAUGCGCAGAUAUCAGGAGGAACACCAGUGGCGAAGGCGGCCGCUGGGC